CAUUUCUGUAGCGUGGCUACUGUCGGGGGGGUUCUUAUGAGCCUGUAUAGUUUAAUUACUGAUGAGCAGCCUUGGCCCCCUGUCUGGACCCUUGUCUUUUGCGCACUCAUGUUUCCUCGGUGGGCUUUUAACCCGCCGAUCGGACAACUCUAUAACCUUUUUUAAUAUUCAAUCAGCGUCUGAAAAACUUAAUAAUUA
rnacentral:misc_RNA from 1 species